UACGGAGGGUGCGAGCGUUGUCCGGAAUCAUUGGGCGUAAAGGGCGCGUAGGUGGCUUCCUAAGCGCGCGGUGAAAGCCUGGGGCUCAACCCCGGGUCGGCCGUGCGAACUGGGGGGCUUGAGCACUGUAGAGGCAGGCGGAAUUCCGGGUGUAGCGGUGGAAUGCGUAGAGAUCCGGAAGAACACCGGUGGCGAAGGCGGUGAGCUGGGCAGUUGCUGACACUGAGGCGCGACAGCGUGGGGAGCAAACAGG
rnacentral:rRNA from 1 species